rnacentral:rRNA from 1 species
AAUAGAUACCCAGGUAGUCCACGCCGUAAACGAUGAGUGCUAAGUGUUAGAGGGUUUCCGCCCUUUAGUGCUGCAGCUAACGCAUUAAGCACUCCGCCUGGGGAGUACGGUCGCAAGACUGAAACUCAAAGGAAUUGACGGGGGCCCGCACAAGCGGUGGAGCAUGUGGUUUAAUUCGAAGCAACGCGAAGAACCUUACCAGGUCUUGACAUCCCACUGACCGGUAUAGAGAUAUACCUUUCCCUUCGGGGACAGUGGUGACAGGUGGUGCAUGGUUGUCGUCAACUCGUGUCGUGAGAUGUUGGGUUAAGUCCCGCAACGAGCGCAACCCUUGAUCUUGGUUGCCAGCAUUUAGUUGGGCACUCUAAGGUGACUGCCGGUGACAAACCGGAGGAAGGUGGGGAUGACGUCAAAUCAUCAUGCCCCUUAUGACCUGGGCUACACACGUGCUACAAUGGAUGGUACAAAGGGCUGCAAGACUGCGAAGUCAAGCCAAUCCCAUAAAACCAUUCUCAGUUCGGAUUGCAGG